ACGCUCGACACCUACUGGAGGCAGCAGUGGGGAAUAUUGCACAAUGGGGGAAACCCUGAUGCAGCGACGCCGCGUGAGCGAAGAAGUAUUUCGGUAUGUAAAGCUCUAUCAGCAGGGAAGAAGAAAGACGGUACCUGACUAAGAAGCCCCGGCUAACUACGUGCCAGCGGCAGCGGUAAUACUGAGCGGGCGUGGCAAGGC
rnacentral:rRNA from 1 species